CAGAGGGUGCGAGCGUUGUUCGGAAUUACUGGGCGUAAAGCGCGCGCAGGCGGUCCCUUAAGUCUACCCGUGAAAUGCCGGAGCUCAACUCCGUGCACGCCGGGGGAUACUGGGGGACUGGAGACAUGUAGAGGCAAGCGGAAUUCCGGGUGUAGCGGUGGAAUGCGUAGAUAUCCGGAAGAACACCUGAGGCGAAGGCGGCUUGCUGGGCAUGAUCUGACGCUGAGGCGCGAAAGCGUGGGGAGCAAACAGGAUUAGAUACCCUGGUAGUCCACGCCGUAAACGAUGGGCACUAGACGCGGGUGGGAUCGACCCCUUCCGUGUCGCAGCUAACGCGAUAAGUGCCCCGCCUGGGGAGUACGGCCGCAAAGCUG
rnacentral:rRNA from 1 species